rnacentral:rRNA from 1 species
CCCUUAGAUGUUCGGGGCCGCACGCGCGCUACACUGAAGGACUCAGCGUGUCUCUCCCCCUAUCCCGAAAGGGAUGGGCAACCCGUUGAACCUCCUUCGUGCUAGGGAUUGGGGUUUGCAAUUAUUCCCCAUGAACGAGGAAUUCCCAGUAAGCGCGAGUCAUAAGCUCGCGUUGAUUACGUCCCUGCCCUUUGUACACACCGCCCGUCGCUACUACCGAUUGAAUGGUUUAGUGAGAUCCUCGGAUUGGUCCCGCCACGGGAGGAAACUUUCGAGGCGGAGUGCCGAGAAGACGAUCAAACUUGAUCAUUUAGAGGAAGUAAAAGUCGUAACA